ensembl:lncRNA
CUUGGACCCGAAGUGAGAGAGGACUCUUAAUUGCCCUUUAGGUUCUCUAGGAUUCAAAUUAUCAAACUGAUGAGCUGUCCUGGAUUUUGUCCUUCGUGGGGUGAAUUAGUUGGACUGAAACACACACACACACACACACACACACACACACACACACACACACGGAAGAAAUUUCUUGAGACCUGUGGGACACAUACAGGAAUAGUUAUGCUAAUUAGGCAUUAAUGCUUUCAGGAUCAGGCCUCAGCAUCUCAGCAUUUUUAGGAUUCAGGCAGAUCUCUCACAAUUUUUCCUGGACGGCCAUGCAGAUGAGGACCAUCAGAUGAAAUGCUGAAUUUAGGAGCUCUCCUGGGAGUGGAGCUGAACUGAGUGGUAAUGGAGCAGUGAGAACUCUGAAGCUCUGGAAGGAGAGUGUGCGAAUGGGUGUUCCUGGCUCAAAAGUGAGUCUCUGGAAAAGGCACUGCAGACACUGGUCAGUCAGGGUAGAGGGAGUUAGCAAGGAAGCUAUGGCAUUUCCCAGUGACAUCACCGGUAGGGUCUUCCCUGGAAAUUCUCUUGUAUCCAGGAGAACCCUAGAACCUUCUGUGAUGUCACCAGUGUUGUGGUGACACCAACUGCCUGAGCGAUUUCCCUUCAUUUCCUAAUGGGUUCCCGAGGAGGCAUGUUCUCCAGGAUCCUCAGUCUCUUUCGGAGGGACAAUCAUAUCCAUGCAGAGACCAGACCAAGGCAGAGGGAGGCCAGCCUUCUAGCACGUUGGAGAACAAGACGAAUGGAAAGGUCCUGGAGGAGGACAAGUCUGAAAUAUUCCAGCAGAAGCUUGAACAGUGCACAGACAAGGACUACAGCUCGCAGAGACAGAACUGUCCACCAGGAUCACUGAGUGUGCAAAAAUGACAACGACUCCCCAAUCUCAGUCCUAAUGGCAAUCUUGGGCUGCAUUUUGUUCUUUCCUUUGCCUUCCUAUGUGUGAGGCAUCCUUCAUGUCGUCUAGCAUCUGACCCAGGAAAAGUCUCUUUGGAGGGCUUCAGCGGAGUGCUGAGGGACAUCAAGAACUGCUGGGCAUCCAGGAGGAGUCUUAAGAGUGACAAUUUUUGCUAGUCCUGAUGGGUCAUCAAGUAUAAUUUCAUGGAGUUCAAUCAUGCCAAUUUGAAAGACUUUGAGAUAUCGCCCGGAACAUGUCUCAGGCUUAACCUUGGGAGGACUUGUCCAUCUACAAUAAACCACCCCCAAUGAGGCAUGUCUAUACUCAUCUUGAAGAAAUUGAUACCAUCUUGCCUGCCCUUGUGCUGUGUUUACAAGGCCAGCAGCAGGCUGUAGGUGUUUGUUGCGAAUCUGCAGCAAUUGAAUGCUACUUAACUCACCUGUUUUAUUUGGUUUUUGGUUUGAAGUUUGAUUGCUUUACGUGUUUCGUUUUCUUUGUCUUCAUUUGAAAUUUUGUUAUUUAUUUGUUAUCUUUUUGUUUUUGCAAUUAAUUUGCUAUAUUCCUAGGGCUAUAUACAUUGAACUCAUUGACUCUACACUUUAAAAUGUUGUUGAAUAUAUUAAUGUGUGCUUAUAGUAAAGAUGUGACCCUUCACUCACAAGAGCCUCUUGUAUUCAUACGUGGUUCCCUGUCCUGUAAUAGAACAAGUCUCAGACAACAGUGGUUUUCUGCAAGUCUCAUGCAGCUUAGCCUUCACGAUCAGUUCACAGCCAGCCAGAGCUGCACAGGAAACUGUGCCCUCAAUGUGAUUAUUAUGUCAUACUCUGUGGAUCCCGACUUCAUAAUGAAAAAGUAUCCUUGCUGUAUCCUUGUGCUCAUAAUUUUAGCUACCUUUAUAAUGAACUACUCUGUGGCUAAUCAUGUUGGACAAAGGAGAAACACAGAAGUAUUUCUAUAAUACAUUACAGGAAAUAAAAGCACGCAGUAAGGGUAUAUAAAAGAUAUCAGGACACAGAGAGCUGUAUGCCUCCGUUUUUCUUGAAAUAUAGCGUCAGCGAUAAAUGCAGAGAUAAUAAAUUCCAUGAAUUUUGGAGGGACAGAUAUUUUUAGUAUUAUUGUUGGUGGUUUGUUUGUUCUUCUCAAUAAUGACAAUUUUUGCUGAGUCCUUUUCUAUAUAUUUGGUACCUUCUUUUGGGGGAGGGUGUUUGAUUUUUGAAUUAUAUCUUUUUUAAUUUUAUAAGUGGG